GUUCCAGGGGAACAGAAUCAGAGAAAGGCCCAACUAACCAUGGUAGAGACUCAUUCCCAACAUCCUUCCUUCAAAGGUUUAAAGUGUACCUAUUCCAAAACAUGGUGAACAGAUCUGUGAAGUGGGCAGCUGGCUGUUUAUAUCAUGGAUGAAGAUCCCACUUUCAUCUUUGAGAUCCACAGAGAAGUCUUUCUUGAACUUUCUUUAUUGGACAAUAUCUUUUUCAUACCUUUCUGAGCAUCAAUGUAUUCCUACUUUCUUUUAAAUGUCACUGACAACAAUGCCUGACAACUUCCAUGUCCAUUUUGUCAGAGGUUGGAUGUGAAGGAUGAACCAGAGAAAUGAGAUCACAGUAUCAGCUUGUAUAUACUGGCCAGAAAAAUACGAUGGAACCUUCAGCCUACUAAACACUAAAGCAUUGUGAUAGCCAAAUCGGUUGCUUGUUGACAGCACUGAAGACUACAGACAGAUGAGAGAGGCUGAAGUUCGCAUCAAAGUCGCAAGGAGGUAGACAGGCACAAAUGAGCCGCAGCAAGUAACUCGUUCUAAUCUCUAAUAGAACAAGCAAGGAAGAAAGCAAACUCUUCACAACUGUCACCAGUGGCUAUGCUUUUAAAAUGAGAAUGUUGGGGAUGGUUUCAUCAGGAACAGGCAACAGCUUGUAAAAUCUCACUUUAUUUUAUUCCUGCUUUCCGGGUACAUAAUUUAUCUCUUUGAUUAUGCAUAUAGCAUUUAACAUAAGAAAAUUAGUACGCAAAGGGAUAGAAUUUACAAAGCAGUUAUUACUGACUUCAGAUCACAUAGUCUCAAGAUAACUAUAAUUGAAACCAGCGCAAAUGAUGACAGCAAAUAAUUUUUAUAGGAUUUUCUAACAGACA